GCAUCGCGAGCGAGAUGGCAGUGUAAUCUGUGCGUUGGGGCUAGGCCGGCCAGCAAGCUAGCGAUGGCAGAAGCCAUGCGCACUGGCCGGUGGCCCUCAAAAGAGGCAGAAGAUGAGCGAGAAAGGGCUUUUUUUUUUUUUUUUUUUUUUUUUUUUCAGAGAGGAGAUGGACAGAGAGCUUGAGAGAGAUCGAAGAGCUCGAGAGAACGGAGGGCGAGCCAGAGGGAGAGAGUGAGACCGAGAGAGCGUUUCGACAUUUCCUGAGAUCCGCCCGUUGCUCAUCUUCCGAACCGGGUAAGUCUUCCGAACCGUAGGUACCCUGUUUUAGGAGGUGUCGGACCGGAGCUCGCGACUGACCAUUUCGCGCGAGCUUCGGUCCCGCUGGUCCUUCGUUGAUUUUGUUGCGCGUUCUGGUAUGUUUCGGUAGGAACUUAGGGCUGUGUUUGAGUCUCGAUCGCGUCGGAAAUCUCUCGUUCGAGUCGCGCACGUCAACUGUUUGCAGGGAUGCUUGAAUGGAGUCUGAGUAUUCUUAGUUGGUCUUGACCGAGCCUUAUCGUCCUUGAGUUCAUAUCCAUGUUAAAUUUGAUGUGAUCUGUCUCUGAGUUGGUCUAGAAUGUUGUUUGUGUGUCAAUGAUCAUUGCUUGGUCCGAACAAUAGCCCCGGACGAGCUUGGGUCCUCCCUCUAGCUGGUGCAUUCUAUCUGUUUGAUGAAAUGUCAAAAUGAGAUUUGGAAAUGGUUUCUGCGAGGUUUGUUGCUGUGAUAUUGUCUUUGUUCGAUUUUGAGUCGCUUCUAUCGUGUUGUUUGCUCAUGCCGGUGUUAGUACACAAAUCGACGGAGUUUUAGUCAUACGAAAAUUUAGAGCUCAAAAAUCUAAUCUUUCGUCAAAAGCAUUCCGGCAACGGUGAUGAUCUCCGGUCAACUAGUGGCCGGCGGAGGUUCGGCGGUGGAAGGAUCGCCGGUCAUUCCGGGCUACGUCGUUAUUUGGCUGAGUUUCGAUGAGGCCAUGUUUUGGGGAAGAGAAGGCUUCGGGCGUGCAGAGAGGAUGCACGAGGGAGAAGAAGACCAAAGGAAGGAAGGAUAAUAAAUAAAUAAAUAAAUAAAAAAAUAAAAAAAAGGAAAAGCAAGAGAAAAACUGCAGCAAAAAGUUAAAAAAAAAAAGUGAGAGAAAAUAAGAUAAAAGUCCCUUCGGAAAGACAAAGGCCCGUUUUGUUCGGCUUUGGGGAAAUGCCUUUGGCCUAAUGCAAAUAUCUUUAGGAUAAGGGGGUUUUCGGGAAUGCUCGGCCGUUUGGCAAAUUACGCAUUGGAAAACUUAUUCCAAAUAGGCUUUUGCUUUUAAUUUUUAAAAAAAAAAAUCUGAAAAUCAAAUCCGGUGGUGCCGGACGGCCACCGGCCGCCUGAGGUCGUGACCUCAAGCGAUGCUGUCGCCGCGACCUCAGGCGUAGAGGCCAGAUCUGGCCGUCCGGCGACCAGAUCUAGCCUUCAGAUUGCCAGAUCUGGCGGCCUGAGGUUGCGCGGACCCAGGCGGCACGACCUCAGGCGAUGUCGUCGCCGCUUGGAGGCGCGACCUCAGGCGUCUGAGGUCGUAGAUGCCAUAUCUGGUGGCCUGAGGUCGAGCGGACCUCAAGCAGCAUUACCUGGUUCGCGCGGAACCAGGCGACGCCACCUGGGUCCGCGCGACCUUAGAUGAUGUGAACCUCAGGCAAUGUCGACUGGUUCCGAGCGAACCAGGCAACGAACCAGUCAACGCCGCCUGAGGUCCGCGCUGCCUGGGUCGCGAGUCGCGGCACCCCCAAACGGUGGUCACCGGCGACGUGCGACCCUCAGGCGGUAGUGGCGAUGGUUGCCGGAGAAGCCCGGUGGCCGGGAUGAAGAAGAAGAAGACAACGGGGAAGAAAAAUGAAGAACAGUAGGCGUGGCAUUUCACAAAUGCCGAAUGCCGAAUGCUGCCCCUCCCCCAGCUUUCAGCAUUGAGCAUUCCAAAUGCUCAUAUUUGGGCAAAGGAGCUUCCAAAAAAUUUGCCAAACACUAAAAUUUUUCCCCAAUGGGCUUUGGGGGCCCAAAGCCCCUUGGGAAUGCCCAACCAAACAGCUAGAGGGAGCAGGGAGGAGAGAGAACAAAAUAAAAAGAAAUGAAAAAGGGAUAAUGAAAAGAAAUAAGAAGGGACAAAUCGGAGGAGAAGACGUUGGAACUUGGAGGGACGUUCUGCGAAGAAUGCAUAUAGCAGAAAAAGACAAAACAUGGAUAACACAAAAAGAGAAAAAAGAAAAAGAAAAAAAUAUAUUUAAAAAAAAAACUAAACUAAAAAAUAUAUAUAUCUUUUUUUUUUUUAAAUCCAAUGGGCUUAAAUUUUGGGCUUCCUCCUAGAUUUUGGUAUUAUGAAGGUAGCACACUUCUACGGCACUUCGAUAUAAUAGCCAAUGAUGGUUAAUCAAUGGCAAUUCAAUGUGCAUUGGUAUCCUGGAUUAUAUAAGGAAUCUUACGGAUCUUCAUAAUUAUCAAGUACAUAUUGCCAUCACGGUUAGGCCCACGAGGAGACCAUGGGUGAAAAGCAUGUUUGCAUUGAUUGGCAAUAAUUAGAGAUUUGGGUCAAAAUUUGUCGGUGCAAAGGAACAUCGGACUUGGAUUGAGGGGAAUUGGCCCAACGUGGUAGAGACUCACAUGUGAGGGGGAAAAUGUUGAGUGCUCAAGUGAGUGGUAUGAAAAUAAAGUAGUCCCAUAUUAGACGUCCAAAGUUAAAAGAAGCAAUAGAUAAUACCUAGUCAAGGAGGACCUUUCUUAUUUAUGAAGCCGGUCUAAUGAAAUGCCAUAAGAGGAACUCAAUCACUAAAUUGAUACAUUAAAAUAAAUAAAUACAGCCUCAUCUAUGUAUAGGAUGCAUGUUAAUGGAUCUAAAAGCAGUCAUAAUAGAAUCUUAUAUAGAUAAAAUGGGCUAUAUCUACAUACAAAAAAUAAAAGAACUAUUUUUCCUUGUGUAUCAUUAAGAGGAUGAGAGAAAAAAGUAGGUCACUAAAGAACGAUAAUAAAAUUAAAAUGAAUAAAUAUUUGUGAAUCUUGCAUCGGUACCUAUUCUAAUUAAAAGGGCAAAAUGACAUAAACAAUUUUUACUCGAUACUAGAAGAAAAGGAAUAGAAAAAAAUGUGUAAGCGCUCCAAUGCUUUCAGCCACUUUGUAUUUGACCAUUUCCAUUUAUUUCAACACCAAAUUAGAUUACAUAACAAUAAAUUAUGGAUACACAAUUAUCUUUGUAAUAAUGAGCUGUUACACUACUUAAGCCCAUUAUUAUAUUAGCCUUAGCAAAUAUAUUAUUUAAGAAGGACUUCUUUCCUUCUUCGUUUUUUUUUUUUUUUUUUUUUUUUGGACGAACUUCUUCGUUAAUAACAAAAGAGAAGGACCAAGAACAUUAUAAGGAAAGAACAGUGAACAUACAUGAGGAGAAGAAAGAAAGGAAGAACCUAACCAAGGAAACUUAGAUUGCCUUUGUGAUAGCCCAAGGAAGGGGAGAGGUCCUCUCUAGUCCCACAUCGCUUAGGGAGAGUCCUGGGUUAGUUUAUAAAGGCUUGGGUUCCUUUAAUCUAUAUAACUCAUUUUAAAGCCCUGAGAACUCAGUGUUUAAAGCAGACAAUAUUAUACAGUGGGGCCUGGGUCGUUAUUAGAUUAGUCCAUGGAAUGAAUCAUUAACAUUUGAUUUGUUUAAGAUAAAUCAAUGAAAUAAACCAUUAGUGAUUGACAUGUUAUUGUAAGUUGAUAUUGUUAAUUGAUCUUAUACAUAAAAAGUUUCGUUGGAAAGAUAUUAUCCACUUUUGAUAUUUUACUUAUAUCAUAUACUGGAUUUUCGGUUGUGAGUUAUGAUAUUGAUUUAUAAUAAUCUGCAUAUAAAAUAUGUAUUACUCAUUGGGCUGUAAUUGCUCAGUUUUUUCAUCUUACUUGCUUUCAGGUUCUUCAACUAACCAUAAGCAAGUAAAAUGAGAGCAUUUACAUUAUCGGGAUGACAUUUUGGAUAUUAUAUCACAGAUGAACUCCUGAGUUUAGUUGUUAGAUUGACAUAUACCUAUUCUUUUGAUGGAUUAUAGAAACUCUAAUAUUGUAACCAUAUGACGCUUUAUCGUACAUAUGGAUGUAUAUUUCGAUAAAAAGGUUGAUGGUAAUUAUGCUUAAGGUAGCGUCUUUUGAGUGAAAUGAUGGCCAUGUCAUUGCCCCUGUACUUGUAGAGUUGGGGGUGUGACAAUCCUCUAUUCUAGGACCACAAGUCCUUCGGAUCUACAUUUAUUAUACUAGAAAAGCCAAAUACAUGAAUUUUGAUUUAUGUUCCUGUGAAAUCUAUGUUUUCUCAAUUUGCAAGCAGUGAUUGUAUGCCUUGUUCCUUCAAAGGGCUGUUGACGGUGAGGGAACCCGCCUACAAUACUCUGCGAGAGCCCACAAUGGGUAAAUGUUCCUGUAAUUGGUAUAGUGCAACAUGCAGUUCUUGUUGAAAACCCCAGUGAUUUCCUGCAAUGCAAAGUUCAUGCUUAGAUCAUGUUGUUUGGUUGUAAGGCAAUUCUUACCGAAUCAGUUCCCCCUCUCAAUCAGUUUUCUUUUAUUUGCACUAGUUCCUGACGAUGUUUUGAGGAGUUGAACCAAUUGUUUGUAAGAUAAUAUGCGUGGACCAUAAUCAUCUCUAGAUUUUCCUAGUUGUAUGGAUUAGUUCGCAGGAAAUUCUUUCCCGGGAUAUUGGUGGCCUCUCUCUUAUUUCCUGAGAUUUUAACCCUGUAUGAAAUCAACUUUCUGAAAGGUACAAACCUGUUGAGGGUAAUCACCGUCUUCCAUUUGUGAAUUGAUUAACAAUUUUUACCACUUUGUAUUUGACCAUUUCCAUUUAUUUCAACACCAAAUUAGAUUACAUAACAAUAAAUUGUGGAUACACGGUUAUCUUUGUAAUAAUGAGCUGUUACACUACUUAAGCCCAUUAUUAUGUUAGCCUUAGCAAAAUAUAUUAUUUAAGGACUUCUUCUUUCCUUCUUCGUUAAUAACAAACGAGAAGGACCAAGACAUUAUAAGGAAAGAACAGUGACCAUACACGAGGAGAAGAAAGAAAGGAAAAACCUAACCAAGGGAACUUGAUUGCCUAUGUCACAGGCGUUAAAUUUGACCAUAGUUAGACACCAAGUAUUAGAUCAAUCCAUGGAAUGGAUCAUUAACAUUUGACAUGUUUGAGAUUAAUCAAUUAAAUAUAUGGUUGACUUGUUAUUGUGAGUUGAUAUUGUUGAUUGAUCUUAUACGUAAAAAGUUUUGUUGGAAAGAUAUUAUCCACUUUUGAUAUUUUACUUAUAUCUUAUACUGGAUUUGGGUUGUGAGUUUAUGGUAUUAAUUUAUAAUAAUGUGCAUAUGAAAGAUGUAUUACUUAUUGGGCUGUGAUUGCUCAUUUUAUUCAUCUUACUUGCUUUUCAGGUUCUUCAACUAGCCAUAAGCAAGUAAAACGAGAGCAUUUACAUUAUUGGGAUGACAUUUUGAAAAUUAUAUCUUAAAUGAACUCCUGAGUUUAGUUGUUAGAUUAACAUAUACCUAUUCUUUAGAUGGAUUAUAAAAACUCUAAUAUUGUAACCAGAUGACUCUUUAUCAUACAUAUUGAUAGUAGUUAUGCUUAAGGUAGCAUUUUUUGAGAGAAAGGAUGGCCAUGAUAUUGCCCAUGUACUUGUAGAGUUGGGGGUGUGACAAUCCUCUAUUCUAAGACCAAAAGUCUUUCGGAUCUACAUCUAUCAUACUAGAAAAACCAAAUACAUGAAUUUUAUCGUAUAUAUUGAUAGUAGUUAUGCUUAAGGUAGCAUCUUUUGAGUGAAAUCUAUGUUUUCUCAAUAAGCAAGCUGUGAUGGUAUGCCUUGUUUCAUCAAAGGGCUGUUGACGGUGAGGGAACCCGCCUACAAUACUCUGCGAGAGCCCACAAUGGGUAAAUGUUCCUGUAAUUGGCAUAGUGCAACAUGCAGUUCUUGCUGAAAACCCCAGUGAUUUCCUGCAAUGCAAAGGAUCAUGUUGUUUGGUUGUAAGGCAAUUCUUACCGAAUCAGUUGAACCAAUUGUUUGUAAGAUAAUAUGCGUGGACCAUAAUCAUCUCUACAUUUUCCUAGUUGUAUGGAUUAGUUCGCAGGAAAUUCUUUCCCGGGAUAUUGGUGGCGCGCACUCUCUUAUUUCCUGAGAUUUUAACCCUGUAUGAAAUCAACUUUCUGAAAGGUACAAACCUGUUGAGGGUAAUCACCGUCUUCCAUUUGUGAAUUGAUUAGCAGUUUUGCGGCACGGUGCAGGGGAGUCGGAUCCCUCUCUGCCUGAUAGUAGAUGAACCAAAGUCAGAAACUUCACGUUGAAUAUUGAUCUUUUACCAUCACCAAAGUAUGUUUAAUGCCGUGGAGACCAAAACGACACUAUCAUCAACUGACCUGCCCCGCGUAAAUCAUGCCCAUCAUAGCCCAAGCGGUUUGCACCAGAUUUGAUCUGUUUCCUUCAAGCGGUACGUAUUCCUACAUCAACCCAUUUGGCGAACAGAAUUCAAGAUUUCCGUGUUGCCAGAAAAGCGAGCAACUAAAACAGCUAAAGCCAAACAUGCGGUGGAAGGUCCCUCUAGAAAUUACCUCCUUCGGGCAAGAAAGAUAGCUCUCUCCCCACCCACCAUCCUGCAACUGUGUUCGUAGAAGAAAAGCGACUCCUUUGCGCAUAGCUGCACAAUUGCUAUAUGUCUUGCCAGCAGCUGCUAGUCCACCGAGCGCAAACCAUGAGCCAUAUGUAAAACAAACUCCCCAGCACCCAUACCUGCAAGAAUUGCUCAGUUAGUCAGCUGUUCUUUAAUUUAUCUGAAUUCUUCAGCAAUACCCACUGGAAGAGGAACAUACCACGAGCCAUCUGGCUUUUGUACAUUCUCCAGAUACUUUACGGAAUUUGAUAUAAAAUCUGCAAUCUCCUUCUUCCUGUGCCCAGGAUACAACUUCCUGAACAAAACUAAAGCUUGGAUAGCUGAGGACGUGCAUUCAACAUAUUCAUGCUGGAUGACAAUGUCCGCAAAGAACUCUGUCGGGUUUAGGAGCUGCAAGUGACAAAUGAUGAGGAAGAAGUCCCGCUAUAGUAAUUUAUGAACAAACAGACAUGUCUUAGUCCGUGAGGACCGCCAAGGAAUUCCAAAAAAAAUAUCAAGUACUUACUUCUAGCCAAGCUGGAGCUCCUGCAGGCUCCCAUGCUGGCAAUCCGCCAUUUUCACUCUGGAACAAGUGGCAUUCAUGGACGAUGUGAUGAUAUUGUAAAUAUAAUCAAACUCAAUGAAAGAAUUAACUGGCAACGUGAUUUUGGGAUGCAUAGAGCAAACAAAGCUUAGCCAAUAUUUCUUGUUUGAUCAAAGAUUUUCUCAAGUCUUUCUCAAAAAAGAAAAACAAUGGUAUACUCACUUGUAGAGAAAGCAAAAUGUUGACAGCGUCAUACAAUUUCUCUGGCUCCAUCUUCUCACCAACAAUUUCAGGUGGCAUCAUUGAGAAAAGCAAGCAACACUGAAUAAACAAGGAAGAAUUCAGUGAGAAACUGAGCAAUUUAGGAUUGGAUUGAACAUGCAGAUACAGUGAAGGCAUUCAUUGGAGUAUUACCUUCAGACCUUCUGCAGUGCAAUCAGAGACUUGCCAACCGUGAUCUUGAUCCGAAAAUGUCCAAGAUCCUUUACUAAUAUGACGGUGCAUGCUUUUGAAAUCACCAGAAGGAUUGUCCUUGACCUGGAAUAUUGUAAACAGAUCGAUGCACUUCAGUUUAUGCGAGGAAACAAAAGAAACUAGGAAGAUGUUUGGAGAUAGGCGAUGCUCGCAACAAUCAAAGAUCAAACCUGAGAUUUUUUUAUGAAGUCGUGUCCUCUAGCUAAUACCGGUGCUAUCUCCUCAGUCAUAUUACUGGCAAGCAAAGCUUGGAUGGCAAAGCCCGUGUCCCACUCUUGGCUACCAAAACUCUGCAUAUGAAUGAGCCAACCACCAAACUAAGCUUCCCUCUAGACGGUCACACUUUACUAAAUUAAUCUUCUCCUUAUUAUAAGAAUGCUUCCACCUUUCAAAUAUGCAGCAUAAGCACCUAUCAUUUCGAAUUAAGCCCAAUUCUGUCAUAGUUCCGUGACACUACUACUAACCUGCAUCUUCAUUCCAUCUUCGGCAACCCAAAGGUAAUCCGGUAUCCUAGCAAGAUGCUUCUUGAAAUAGUCACUGUCUGGGUCUUCUACCCAGCAAGCAAGCAUGCAUAAAACCUGUCCGAGUCCAAAGCAAAAGACAAAUUCUCAGUAGUGUUUUACCACGAUGCGAGAACUUCACACUUAAUGUGUCUUUCUCCUCAAAUUUAUGUAUUCAUUACCUUUUCUACACAUCCAAUCGUGAUAUAUCGACUGUUCUCAUCUUCGUAGUGAAUGUGUUUCAUCGUCACCUGAAGAGCCUUUUCUCUAAGUUUAUUAAAUGGCCAACGGUUGAGAAGAGGCUCUGUAAAUAUGUAAAGACUAUCCCAGAUCAGAUCCUGUACUAAGGGAUGGGGAUAGUAGAGAUCCUCCUGCAACAACAAUUCGAGUCAUUUUGUUAAAAAAUUUCUGACUCGUAAUCCAUCUGAUUCUAGAACGAUAUCUUGGACCUGUUAUGGAUACUUGCCUUGGCACAAAGAUGGCAGACUUUUCUCCAGCAAAUCGUGUCGUAGGGUUGAGUAUGAAGUUCUUCUCUCAACUGUUGAACAAGUGGUGUGAUGGGGCCGACGAAUCUUUUCCCAUACAAGUACGACAUGGGCAUGUACACCAUCCGACAGUAGCACCACAUCUUAGCUACAUCAUUCAAAACAGGACAUUCAGACGACAUAUCCAUAUAACUGAGGAGAAACGUAGUCACACGAAACAGAAGUUGAAAUUUUCUAUAUUUCAAGGGGAAUUCUGGAAGGGUGGCCAUUUCAAUAACAAGCCAAUGCCAUAUUCUUGUUCGUUCAGCAAAAACGCCGCCUUUUUCAAUUUGAAAAUAGUCCAAAAUUAUAUUUGCUAGACUACUAUAGAAUACCAUCAAGGACAAGAUCAAGAAAAUCUGCAAAAACAAACCUGGGUGCAUGGGCAGGAACGAAGGCAAGAUCCAGAACUCAGGGGGCAUUGGGUUGGUUCCAGACCAAUCAAAAAGGCCGAAAAUCUACACAGCAUGUGACAAGCCAACACACAUGCACAAGCACAAUGUCACAUAUCCAAUUCACCCAAACACCUGCGCAGAACAAUCUGGAGCACAAAGUUUUGUCAAUUACUGAAGGAAGAGUGAGAGAGUACCGAGAGCCAAGUCUUGCCCCAGGAGGGUAUGUAGGUGACCCCACCACGGUCAAGAAUCCACUUCCUGGCCCGAGUACAAGCAUUAUCCUGGCCACCAUCAGGCCCUUCCCCGAGAAUGCGCAUGCAUCUGUAGCUCAGGGCCGUGCAGAACAUGGUGCUGUGACCUUCAAUGUGGAAGCCCCACCCACCAUCUCCAUUCUGCAACAAAAUUAAUGCAAAAAACACAAACAGUUUCAAGACUAAGUCUUUCAAAGUUCCUCUGCUAUUUUCUCCAUCUGAGUGUCUUCCUUUUUGCAAAUAAAAGAGUAACCUGAUGGUUGUAGAGGUAGCGGAGAAUUUCUUUGCGAUGCUCGGCAGGGAAGACGGCGUUGAGGUGGCCGGUGAUGUAGACACACAUGACUAGGGGAGGGAGGAAGUAAAGAGGCCCGGCAAUCUCGGCAGGCCAGUGGCCAUCACUGGCCUGCAGUGCGGAGAAGAAGUGGACAGUCCUCCUCAGGGCGGUGGACGCUUUGUCGUACGUGAUCUCCUCGCCGUCCUCCACCCUCACUGGCGAGAUCGUCUGCCUGAACUGCUUCUCCCUCAGAAACUGCCCAGAAAUCAGGCACCAUGCAUCAGCUGUAGAUUGCCCAUUACUUCGUAUUGCCACACAUUAACAAAUUUUAAACUUGAUGACAAGCAACAACAGUGAAAUUCCAAUUGGCGUAUGAGAGUUACUGUCUUUCUCAUUUUCAGAACACAAAUAAAAUUUUGGAUUAUGACAGGGAUUCAAACAACUCUCCUAUUAGUUUACAAAUGAUAUACCGAGGUUCUAAAGUGAUUUUGUAUGUGGAAGACAUAAUUCCGUUCCUCCAUAAGUGUGUUUAUGAUAUGAUUUAUCAUUUUGUAAACAGCUUUCGGUAAAAACUAUCUGUCCCUCAUCGUUACAAGGGGCAACAGAGGAUAUAGACUAGUUAUCUACAAACCCCAAGUCUCGAGAUCGAUACGAUUGCUCAGCCCGACUAAUUUAUGAGAUCUAGCAUUUCUUCUUAGAAUAUGGUGACAAGCUCAUAUUAACAACACAACUAAGAAUUUUCACGUUUUGGUGGACUUGGGGGAUUGAGCUAGAGCGAAAUUUUUGGAAAGGAAGAAGAGCCCAGAGGAGAGGGCGUGUGGCCAUGGAUCUUCUCCUUCAAAAUAGAGGCCCGACAGCAACUGGAUAGCACGCUAUCUCCGUCACCGAGACUAAAUACAAAAUUAGCUAACGUAAUUGGGAAUUGAUUCUACCUAUCCAUGUCAAGUUUGAUAUGUAUGCCCGUGUACAAUGUACAGUUGCCUCUUAGUAAGCUUGUUGCUACAUGAGAACGAGUAGGCAUGCAUGUGUGUUCAAGUACGUGGUGUAUAUUAUGUAUGGGUAAGCAGUUUCAGGUUUUGUACAAAUUUUAUAUGGAAUCUGAAACAUAUUCGUUGAAACAGCUUCCUCAAUUUUUGGAAAUUAGAAUCUACUCCACAUACCUUAGAACUUGGAACCUAUUUUGUUAUAGGUUCCAAGAUCAGUUCUAGGGUCUACUAAGGUUCCACCUAUAUUAUCAAUUAAACUAUUGUAAUGAAUUAAAACUUUUAGGGCACGCAUAAUAAAAAUUAUAUUUCUCUAUUUCUCUAUUUCUCUGUUUCUUUGUUCCCCAGAACAGGUUUGAAAUAGAAAUCUGUUUGGUAACGCAAUUUGAUUUUUCUAUUUUUGGAAAAUAUUUAUAUUCCAGAAAUAGAUUUGAAGAAGAAAUGAAAGUAAAAUUUUUAACUUCUCAAUUUCAGAAAUCAAUUUAUGUUCCAGAAAUUUUGUCAUGCACAUCUUUAAUGACCAUAACUUGCAAUUACAAUUUACUGACCAUAAAGACAAGAAAAAUAUGAACAUUAAUAAAGUAAAAGUCUCGGUCAUAGAAGGGAAGCUCAAAUUAAUACUUCUAGAUUAUACACUUAUCAUUGAAUAGUAUGGAAUAUCGUAAGAUCGCACGAAACCAUGAACUAAGAAAAACAUUAAAACUUAUUUUAGGUUUUAGGUUACAAGUUACAGAUUCUAAGUUUCAUAUUCCUCCAAGUAAAAACUUGGAAUCUACCGAUCGAAAUAGAUUCCUUAUUUUUUGGAACCUAAAACCUACCAUGCAUACUUUGGAACCUAGAACUUACAAGUUUCCAUUAGUCUAAUUCUCAGUUCUAGAUUUUACCCUAGAACUAUGCUCACUCCUAAUGUUAUGUACCUGCAUGCGCCAAAGGAGGUCGCCACAUGCCUUGACUUGGUGGCGGUGGUCGUAGAAGUGCUGGCAGGUGGCCUCAACCUCGGCACGCUCCUCAGCGUUGCCAGCCUCAGGGUCGAACUCCCAAGUCUGCCUCCCCACGUAGUUGUUAGUGCUGUACAAGUAGGAGCCAUCCUCGCCUUCUGCUAUCUUCAGCUUCCACAUGCUGAGGUCUUCUCUUUUUCUCUCUUCGUUCAGCUGAUUAUAUCGGAACUCUCCUGUACUGUCCUUCCUGAUGAUCAUGCAAACGAACAAGUAAAACAACCCGCAUAAGAAAAUGAUGAAUGAGUUGCCAGUUGCCACAAACCAAAAGUCAUCGAUGAACAAGGUCGCUAUAAAUCCAUGAACUAUGCUUGUUCUCUAAGGUUAUGUCACCAUGUGCAUGCAUAUCGCAUUAUAGAUAUCAAAAUAUAUCCCGCAGCGAUCUUGGUUUAGCAUGGCUAACGCAUGAACUUAUCACACAGACAGACAGACAGACAGAGACACCUCUUUUGACCGUGAGGGAUAUGUGAGAGUUGUUGAGAAAAUAAUCAAGCUCUCUCUCCAAAACCAAGUGUUGCUGUGGUCUUUAGGAGAAGAAAGGGACCUCUAUUUAUACCCACGUUUUGGGUCGCCGGCUUCUUCGUACUUCCUUUAUCUCAUUUAAAAUAGUACUUAGGGUUUGCGAAACAAAAGUAAAAUAAUGCUAGAUAUAUCAUCCUAUCAUCCCUAAUAAGAGCCAUGGCUUUUUCCAUCCUCUGAUUGGGUAGCAAUACCGGAACGGGCAUACAAACUUGACCAUGUGUGACAGCCCAAGGAAGGGGAGGGGUCCUCUCUAGUCCCACAUUGCUUAGGGGAGAGUCUUGGGUUAGUUUAUAAGGCUUAGGGUCCCUUUAACAUGUGUGACGCGUUUUUAGAGCCGUGAAGACUUAGUGUCCAAAGCGGACAAUAUUACACAGUGGGGCCCGAGUCGUUACACCAUGAAUAGCUUUCAUCAGCUCAAUCCUGCGGGGCUUCCAUAUCAAGUUGUAAUAUCAUUGGUCACCAUCCAGAGUCAAGUUGUAAUAUCAUUGGUCACCAUCCAGAGUUAGAUAUAAAUGUAUUUGUAUUGUAAGACAUUCGUAGAAAUGAAAAACGUAUAGUACACAACACGUUUAUUUGGCCACACAUUAUGUAGAAUUGCAUCGCCAUAGAAGCAUCGUUUGCUUCACGGGAAAUGGGAUCUAAGUUUAAAAGAAUGUAAUUGGCCACACAUUAUGUAGAAUUGCAUCACCAUAGAAGCAUCGUUUGCUUCACGGGAAAUGGGAUCUAAGUUCAAAAGAAUGUAAUUACAGCCUUUUGAAAGUACAUCCUACAAAAAAAGAAUAAGGUUCUUGAGAAUUCAAAUCCAAUUAAAAUGCGGCUUCAAAUUACUCUCAUAGUCUUGCUAUUAUGAUUUUGAUUAUGUGGCUUCCUAAUUCAAAUACUUCUUGUAAUAAAUGAUGAAAGAUGUUCAUGUACUCCUGGUAUAAUUUGAGUCAUGGGUGAUCCAGGCAACAAAUUAGUGCUGACCUGCGGGCAUGAGCUCCUUUCCUCUGUUACUGAUAUAGGGGAUUGGGAUUACAUGAUUUUGGCUUUACUUUGAUAAUACUCAAAAAUUCUGUUAUCAUGUAGAUAUACCGACCUUAUUAUGAAUGAGAAAACUUACAAACAAACAAAAAAAAAAUGACCUUUUUAAUUACAAGAUUUUGUUAAAAAAACUCACAUGUACCUGCUAUCUAAAAAUAAAUCAAAGAAAACUACAUUUUUGUGCGUUGAUAGGUUGUGAUGCUACCAUAACUUUGAUUUAUAAAUGACAAUUGGAUUGGCAUUUUGUUGAUUAAUAAAUGAAAAGAUGUUAACCAAAUUGAAAAUCGAAGUAAUCUUUCUAGAGUACAUUAAGGCAAGUGCUCUAUACAUGCAUACUACAUUAUACUUUAAAAGAACGAGUAUCUUCUAAAAGUUUAGUGAAGGUGUGAAAGGGGACAGGAUUUUAUUAAAAGUCAUGUAUAUAUGCUUAAUAAAUGUAAGAACAAUAUUCAUCGCAAAUUUAAAUAUUUUGUUAAAUUAUGACCAAAAGAUUACUAGUGAAAAACGUUGACUUUUUGUUAUGAAAAUCUAUUAACGUGGUUCACACAACAAGUUAAAAUAAUCAAAAAUUCUGAUUGAUGUGAGGAUUCGAUUGAGUAGCUAACAGUACUUUUCUAUGUCAAAAUCAGCGAGACUAAUCAGUGCCCCUUUUGUGCAUUAUUCUCCUGCGGUAAACAUGAUAGGUCAAGCGUUAUUUUUCUUCUUCCGUAAAGCAAGGUCAACUGGGCUGUCGAUGGCUUCGAAGUCAUGACUUCCUUCUAGGAUCUCCUUCCCUCCAUAAGUGUCACGCACUUGGCACUCUUUCAACGCUCUCAGCACGUUUAGAUCUCCGGUCUUCUCGAAGUUGCUGACAAGACACGAAGAAAUUUCGACCGAGAAUCCUGCGUCCCUCCCUCGCCAGCCUCAAGGCACGGUCAAACAACGCCCCCUCCACCCACCAAACUCCUCGAAACGUGGCGAAAAUUUGUACAAGUGAGGGUGGAUCGUGAACGAUACAAUGCCUACAUAUCCCUUCUAUUUCGUGCCUUCGGUUCUGGAGAACCUAGCUCGGGCCUCAAUCAUUAUCACCUGCAUUUCACGAGGCUCGUGAGGCGCGAAGUGCGCAUAAGAACCCAUUUUUUAAUGGGGGUCUCAAGGUCCCGCGCUUGAGACUUACGCCUGCCUUUGUGGAAAGUCGAACCGCGAGAGACUCUCGACCCGGGAGUACAAUAUCUUCAUGUUUUGUCUCGACUUUUCAGUAAAGCAACUGGGCCAUGUCCUUGAACUUAGCGAUGUCGAGGACGACAAGGAAAGACGGGCUACUGGUGCCGUAUCAAUAUGGCUUUCCACACUCAUAACUGAAAUAACUUUUGAUGUAGGUAUAGUACUAAGAGAUUCAAAGGACUAGUCCCUUGUGUUAUCACACGUCUCCCCUUACUCCUCUUAUUCAAAGAAAAGCGCUAAGAUCCUAGCUCGCCAAAUUUCUAUUUGAGCCAAAAAAAAAAAAAAAAAAUCACCAGCAGACCAAACCGUGCUUUAGAGGGUGGAGUAUCCCCUGCUUCGAUUCCUCUUCGCUUCCAAAUUUCUUCGAGUUCGAUGGGAGCCAUUUGGUGAGACCUGGUUAUGAAUUCCGAUGUGAGGGAUAAAGGUAUUUAUGUAUUUGUAGGGGCCAAUCGAUAGUUCGAGUCAAUAAGAGUUAGAGACCUACCUCGUAAAUGACAAACACUCAGUCGAUUUUUAUCCAAUCCGAUUAAUGAUUUGUAUCUUCCUCCCUCAUAUAAAGAGAGGAUAUAGAAGGAUUGAAACAUAAAAAUUAACGAUGAUCUUACGUCAUUGGGUCCCAAGCACCGUCGCCUGGGCCGUUGGCUCUGAUAUCAUUUGUAACGUCAUGGUUCCACUGUGUAAUAUUGUUUGCUUUGAACACUGAGUCCUCACGGUUUUAAAACUCGUUACAUAAAUUAGAGGGAGCCAAGCAUUAUAAACUAGCCAAGGACUCCCCCUAAACAAUGUGGGACAAGAGACGCGCCCCUCCCUAUGCACGUCCGGGGACGGAGGUGUGAACGCAUCGCCAUCCCUCCUCCCUGCGCACCGUUACCUGGGCCAUCACAACAUAGGUGCCAUGAAACUCGCCGCCCUCAUGCAGCAUGCAGUCGCGAACAACCUGUACCAGGUACUGGCGGCCCGAUGCUGAUUUGACUUGACCAAGGUCCGGCGUAUCGGCAUUGUGGAGCAGCAGACAAGAUGAUUAUUAUUUAUAACCAAUACAUUAAGGAGGAAAACUUAUGCACGAAACGAAGAAUCAUUCGAAUCACAAGAUUUUACUAAAACGUCGUAUAAAAAAUAAUUGAAUUAUAUUGCUUAUAUUGAUACCUGCUCGUUGUUGAUAUUGUAUGUGUCCCCAUGAAGCAUGUCCGGAGACGGAGGUGUGAACGCAUCGCCAUCCCUCCUCCCUGGGCACCGUUACCUGGGCCAUCACAGCAUAGGUGCCAUGAAACUCGCCGCCCUCAUGCAGCACGCCGUCGCGAACAACCUGUACCAGGUACUGGCGGCCUGAUGCUGAUUUGACUUGACCAAGGUCCGGCGUAUCGGCAUUGUGGAGCAGCAGACAAGAUGAUUAUUAUUUAUAACCAAUAUAUUAAGGAGGAAAACUUACGCACGAAACGAAGAAUCAUUCGAAUCACAAGAUUUUACUAAAACGUCGUAUAAAAAAUAAUUGAAUUAUAUUGCUUAUAUUGAUACCUGCUCGUUGUUGAUAUUGUAUGUGUCCCCAUGAAGCUCCCGGUUACACUCAUGUCGAUUAUGGGCUGUAAUAAUGCCAGCAUUACCGCCGUUGGUAUGUGGUGAGGGUAUGGAUCUUGUGGGAGGACUCGAUUUGUGUACCUUUCCGCCUCGCCUCGUGUCCAUUUCAGGGGAUUUCCAAUUAAUUCAUGUCAGUAACUCUUCUCGUACUCGACCUUUCCAUAGUGGUCAUAUUGGGGUUUCUCAAAGGAAAGCCCUUCUUGGGGCUUACUCAUUGAAACUAGAAUGUGUGACACUCUUGCCUUGAGCAAUUGAUUGUUGGCGCUCUUCCUAGGUGACCAUACGGAACGAUUGAGAAUUUGAGAAUGAGCAUUCCCACGGAUCUGCAAUUUGAGACACUUAAGAAACCAGUAGAUCUUCUCUACCUCCUUUUACAUACUUUGGGAUUGCAACAUAGGUACAUUUUGGGAUAUCCUCAUAGCCGUUGAGUUCAUCCUAUAAGACCUUCAACUUGGUGUAAUAUUCCACUAUCGAUAAUCGUCCUUGCCUAUACCAACCUAAUCUCGAUUUUGGUCUUGUGGACGCGAGGUCUGUUCCCUUAGGCGGAUCUCUACUUUAGCUUGUUCAGCAUUACCUUUGCUUCAUUUACAUAUAUCACGCUUCCUUAUAAACUACUAUCGAGAUAAUUGAAAAUCCAUUAAGUUACCAUGCAAUUCAUGUUGUUGGAUCCGACUUCUCAAGCGAUCCAACAAUAAAGUCGAGUUUGCUUUUUGCUUGCAAUGCAAAUCCGGUCCCCUUUGACCAUGUUGCCUAGUUAUCCGCACUUAACAUACAUGAAACGAGGAUUGUCGAAUGUGUUAAGAUAAUAUGGUAAGAUAGUGCAAUCGCCAGUCAAAUUAUCUGGUGGGUUUUGAUCUGUUCGUUCUAACCAUAACAAAAAUCGCAAUUGCCUUUGUUAUUUGUCGUUGCAAGGUAUUGCCCAAUAGAAGCGGCAAGCAGAAUCUUCCCUAAGAUUCCCCAAUAACUACAAGAGAACCAGCAGGCGUUAUACUAACUUUUAAAAAAACUCUUCCACGAUAUCAGAGAUAUACCAAGUAUUAUUCUUUUUAAAUAAAAUCACAUGUAUUAUUCUUCUUUGACGCCGUAAGCUAAUUGGGUAAAAACCCGUGAGAGAGGCAGGCAAAGGCAAGAAGGUUGGCAAAUAUAGGCGGUAACUGCAUCUGAUUUUUCUUUUAAAGUGGAGGAUUCGAUUGAAUAGGUAGUGCAAAGCGCAUGCGUCAGCAGUGACCAUUCUCUACAUGGACGGGGAGGGAGGGAGAUCUGGUAUCGGAAUGCAACGAGCAUGUGAAACUUUCGUUUGUGUUGGCGAAUGAUUGGUUGUUCGAAUUUCUUUUACCAAUGUGAACAUCUUGUGGCAACCAUUUUAGGUUGUUGUGAUUCCGUGGUUGAUUUUUCUUGUUUCUUUUUUUAAGGUUCUGGCAUUUGGGGCUAUUAGAAUAAGGGCAUGUUUGGUAACCAUCCAAAUAACGCUAAAUUCUAUUCUUUUGUUCCCAGGAGUAGUUUUGGAACAUAAUCAAGUUUAGUAAAAAUUUUGUUCUUGGGAACAAAUUUGGAGUAGAAUCAAAAAUAAAAAAUAAAAAAAGUUGAUUCUUUGUUCCCGAGAACAAUUCUAGAAUCAAGUCUACCUAAUUUUUUCUUUUUCCUCAUCUUUCUUCUCUUAUUAUUUUUCCCUCUCUUGUUCUGUCUACCACUACUGUCUGCCGCCGCCGCUGCCCCCCGUCGAACGCCACCGUCCGCCGCCCAUUGCCGUUGGUCGCCGGAGGCUCGCCCAGCCAUCGGCAAGCUUGCCGACAAGCUCACCAGAGGCUCGCCUUGCCGGUGGCCAGGCGGGCCUCCCCCAGCCACCGACGAGCCUCGCCUGGUCGGGCGAGCCCGGCGAGGUCGAGCCCCAGCGGUGGCUAAGCGAGCUCGACCUUGCCAGAUCUAGGCAAGGCCGCUCACCCAGCCAAGGUUCAACUGACAAGGCACGGCCUCGCCAAGGGCCGACGACACUCUGGUGAGGUCGCCAGCCCUCAUCUGGCCGGUCGCUGGUCGUCCCAAGGUCAGCGACCGGCCACCUUGAAGAAGAAGAAGGGGAGGAAGAAAGGAAAAAAAAAAGAGAGGAAAAAUUUAAUAAAAUUACUUUAAAAAUAAUAAUUUGAAGUAUGAAUUGAAAUUUUGCUAUAUAUAUAAUACAUAUUUAAUUUUGUAUUUUAAUUUAUUAUUUAGUAUUUAUUUGUAUAGUUUAUACUAUAGUUUAUUAUUUACUAUUUAAUAAAAAUUUGAUUAGUUAAUAUGUUUAUUACUUAGUAUAAAUAUAAUUAAUCAAUAGAAUUUCUAUGAUUUGAUAAAAUUUUAGAAUUGGAAUAGAAAUUUUAUGUAAUUACUAAAUGCAUUUAUGUUCUUUUUUUAUUCCAGAAUAAAAAAUUUUGUACAGUUACCAAACGUGUUAUUUUGUUCAUAAAUUAUUCCCGGGAACAGAAUAAAAAAUAAUAAUUUCUGAUCAGAAAUUGUUAUCAGGAACAUAAUGGUUACUAAACGCGCCCUAAGACUACCAAUUCCGACAAUCAAAAGAAAUUCCCGCUUGAUUCACAUGUGGAUGAUGUACCGUGUACGCUUUUGUAUUUGUUGCUGAUCGGAUGUGGAUUACUUGAAGUCAACUUGGCACUCAAAUUUCAUAAAGAAAACAAUAGGAAUUGGCAAAUGCAUGGUGGAAUUUCUUGGGACCACUCCACUAAUUUGUGGGCUAUCUAUGCGCAAAGCCUGGAGGAAAUUAACGACAGGUCACAUCCAUGGUUCAUUCUCAACUCAAGAUUUAUAUAUCUUUCACGGUCAUUUUUGAGCUAUUUUCAACCCACACAGUGUGAACCUCACUCUUGUAUCAUAAUUGGAAAGAGAUUGUGAGAGCGCUUCCUUUUCGCUCUAAGCUCAGCACCGCAACCCUAUUGUUACAUCAAAACAAUUGUACAAAGAUCUUAGGUAGAAUUUUCAAAUGGUGGCAUUUCUUGUAUUGAAAGUUUGAGGCAGUUGACAUUGAAUAAAAGUUCCCAUUUUAACUCCUCAAAAGUUAAGAGAUUCAGAUAUGAGGAAGUCUUUAAACAGCUUUAUUUGAGAUCUUGUGUGGAUCUCGGCAUCUCUUGAAUGUUAAAUAUGGAGAGGGUGGAGCCAGGUGUAGACCCUAUAGGGAAGAAUAGAGUGCGGUUACUGAUAUAUUAAAAUAAAAAAUAUAGUCUGGCAAUCCGUUACAUUAGUGGACAGGCGCAUACGGUCACUGUUUGGUGGAAUAUCACCCCUGUUACCCUGAACCGACACCAAGGAUCAAACUCAGAAGUUAAUGUCGCGCAAAAAGUGCAAAUGAAAUGGAUGUUUGGUAAUGUGGACAGGCGUAUAUGGUCUCUGUUUGGUGGAAUAUCACCCCUGUUACCCUGAACCGACACCAAGGAUCAAACUCAGAAGUUAAUGUCGCGCAAAAAGUGCAAAUGAAAUGGAUGUUUGGUUUGACUUUUGGGUUGUGGCUUUUGACUAACCUGUUUUUACUUUUAGUUUUAAGAAUAAUAUACGGCUGCUGGCCGGUUGGUAAUGUACUUGAUGUGAAAGUGUCCUGCAUGGGAUAUUAGAAAGAAGUUCGUGGGUUAAAUAUGAGAGGACUGUAGUGAAUGUCAUUAAAAAAUAAAUAUGAGCUUUCAAGCGGAUCUAUGAGCGUGGAACCGCCUCCAUUAUGAUCGAUUUGAUCUUAACUUGGUGCUCGAUUGAUUGUGAGGGCAUUGCUGCCCCUUAGCUCUCUGUGUUACUUAGGUAAGAGACAAUCAUAGUUCGAAACGUCGUACAACGUACCUUAUUUCAUGUCGUCGUUUUGAUUAGAUAAAUUUCGCAAAAAUUAUAUGGUAAUGUUAGAACGUGUCAUCGUAAUCAAUAGUAUAAUUUUUCAUAAUAAGCAAGUUGUACGAAACUCUAGUAUUGUAAUGACCAAACACAUUCUACAUAGACUAAACCUCCUCAAAAUUGUACUUUGAGUAAUCACACGAGUUGGUGACUAUUUAGGGACUCUUUUUAUUCAAUGUGUGCUCUAGUCCAUUCCAAUUCCCUCCUCUAUCUUAGAAGUUUGUCAAGAGCUGUAUCUUAUAUGAACCCUCUCAUCUCGACACUAUACCCACCUUAUCCAAUUUGAUACAAGCUUAGUUUGUUUACAAACCACACUCCUGCUAGGUAUCCUACUUUAGUACCAUAGAUAAAGAUCUGGUAAUGUAGGGUUGAGUAUUGACUUAUAAAUCAUUUAAUGAGUUCUCUCCUACCUAAUAUAGUACUUAGGUUGUGUUUAAAAACCCAUUUGCAAGACUCUUUGGACCUCUAAAGGCCCUUGAGUAAAUGCUAAUGUGUUUGGCAUCUAUUUUUGGUAGCCCAUUUCCGAAAUGCUAGCAUUUCCAAGGCCUUUUAAAGAUCAUUAGCCCAAGGCUCUCUCCCACCUGCUUUGGCUUUCUAGCUUUCUUGGCAUGUAAGAGGCCUGGUUAAUGAAUUUUUUGAAUUUUCAAUAUUAUCCUUACUCACUAAUUAUUAUUCAACAUUUGCCCCUUCUUAAAUCGCAUCUUCUCUCUAAGUGCGACCAUGGCUUCCCUCGCGAAGACCGUCGCCGCAUCGUGCCUCUCACCACACCUUUGCCUCCUCUCCCUCCACAACACCGCCCCUUCCCUCUUCGCCGCUGCCGCCGUCCCUCCCAGCCCCUAUGCCCACCCGCCUCCUCCCUCUGCCUCCUCACCCCGAGCCUCUCCAAGGCGGCGGAGUACGUGAUCUCCAAGGUCGAUGACCUCAUGAACUAGGCUGUCAAGAUGAUGCACACUGACGCCGCCCGGGAAGAUCUCGAUCGCUUUAGCAUAAUCUUCAGGCCCAACCCUCACCAGUCUGAUUGCAUGAUCGUCACUGGCAUGCUCACCAACAAGAUGGCUUCUGCUCUUUGCAAGUAGGUUUCCAUUUGCUUCCUUCUUUUCUUCCCAAAUUUUCUAUUCGGUCGAUUGUGGUACGAUUUGAUGAGGGAUGAGUGGGGGUAGUUACAUUUGGUAUUUCGAUUUGUUGUGAUUUUUGAUGGAUUUUGUCGAUUGCCGCUUAGUUUCUGAGAAAUGCAUGAAGAGAAAUCGUAUUGGACUAGUCGGGAGUAUUGCGAGGCUCGCGAAGGUCGUGCAACUAGGCGUCACUGCGCCUGGAGUUUGGUAGCCUCAAAGCCGUCACUUGGGCUCUGAACACAACCCCAGAAAUCUUCUUAAUCCCAACUGCAAUGACCAUGGAAUCUCCAAAGUAAUGGAAUGUCAUCUUCAUGAAGCACCUGAAGCAGAAACUGAAGCGCAAGGUCUGUUGCAAUGGCUUCCUCUCUCUUUGCACCUCCACCGGCAAGGUACCUUCGCUUUCACUACUAAUGUCUGGCACUGAUGUCUAGCUCAACCCGAAUGGCAAUUUAGUUGCCUUUGAUUGGGUUAGGACGUGAUUCGGUUUGAUUGGCUAAUCUAUGUCAAAAGUGUAGUGACAACAGAUUUGUUACCAUUUUUCCCCUAAUUUAGCUUGCUCGAUUGAAUUGAAUGGCAACCACUCAAUGCUGCUUGAUAUUUUAUUAUGUCUAUCAUCAUGAAUUGUUCCGUUUUGUGUUUUUGGUUGUAAUACUCUAUGUGAUUGAGCUUUUUUUCGGGAGAUUAGUCCAUGUUGUGAUCAAUGGUGUAUAAUGGCAGCAGGCAGUUGUUAGAAAGCAGGAUUUUGAAGAAUGAUGGAGUUAGAAUAUGAUUCUCCAAACUCAAUCUUUUUCUUUCCUUUUGUUUUUUUAGAAAUGUCCCAUUAGAUCGAAUUAAUUCAUGAUCAUUGGUAACAGUCUAAGAUAGCAAAUAUUGAAUAGAAAUCUUGAAAAUAAAUAAGAGUCAUGAGGACACUUAAUUGAGGAACUCUUUUCCUCAAAAGUCUCAUACGGCAUAAAAGUUAAGAUCAAAACUUUUGCUACUCUUAUUGAUCGUCUCAUGCAUACGUUUACAUAUUAACUAAUUUCUCAAAGCAUAUAUCUACACUUUUAAUAUCAUAUAGAUAAUAAUUUAGACAUUCUUAAUAUCUAACUUGAGUUCAUGUAUGUACUAUUUCAUGGAAUCCAUGAGAAUUUACAUCUGGCAUCAAAGACACUAAGUUAAGACGAUAUAUAUAUUUUAAGUUUGAACUCUCGAUUAUCACUUAUCUUAAAAACCAUCUUAUCUUUAUUUAUCACAUAGUAAAUAGAAGCGAUUAUUCAUGUGAAUGGACUAAUCUCUUAUCUAUCUAACAUACUUUCUCAAUUUUAUAUGAUGCACUAAGCAUAAAUAUGCAUAAACGUUAAACAAAGACUCAUAGACAUUAACAAUGAAACACAAAUUCAUUAAAUGUGAAAUUUUAAGAGAAAUUAUAAUAUUCAGUAUAUCAGCCUCUACGCAGUCCUAAAGAUUUUACAUGGCUACAGAACACAUCUCUAAGUAUUGAUUUCGUCGUUGGAUCUGCUACCAUUCUAUGCGUAAAUAUGUAUUGUAAGUUCACAUAUUUUCGUACAACCAUAUUUUUGACAAAAUUAUACUUGAUAUUUAUAUGUUUGGUCUUAUCAUGAUAUUUUGGAUUUUUGGCAUAUGCUAUUGCUGCUUGGCUAUCAAAGUUAACCAACAAUGAGUUUGUAGCAUUCUUAACAACACCUAAAUGAUUCAAAAAUCUCUUAAGCCAAACACAUGUAUUGCUAUUGAUAAUGCCACGAACUCAACUUCCAUCGUGGACAAUGCUAUACACAUUUGUUUCUUAUUGCUCCAAGAUAUGACACAAUUAUUCAGUAAAAAAACAAAUCCAGAGAUAGAUUUUUUUUUUUCAUUUAAAUUUCCUUCUCAAUCAGCAUAUGAAUAGCCUUCAAGUGACAGAUCAUUUUUUUGAUAACUCAGCAUAUAAUCAACAGUUCCCUUCAGAUACCUCAGUGUUCUUUUAACGGUUUUCCAAUGUACUUAACCUGAAUUGGAUUGGUAUCUACUUACCAUUCCAACUACAAAAUAUAUAUUAGGUAUUAUACACAUCAUAGCGUACAUUAAGCUUCCAACAACACUGACAUAAAGAACAUGUUGCAUUUGUUUUAUCUCUUGUGGAGUUUUUGGACGCAUUUUAUGGCUCAAUCAUUCACCUUUUACAAUAGGAGUAUUUAUUGGUUUAUAAUCUUACAUACGAAAUCGUUCAAGAACUCUCUUGUGAAAAAAAUAAUGAUCUCUUCGAAUAAUCCCUUAAAAUCUUAACUUCAAAAAUGUAUGCAUCCUCACCUUUGUCUUUCAUAUCAAAAUUGGAAGAUAACCAAUUCUUGACAAUAUUAACAAACUUAAUAUUGCUUCUGGCAUUUAGUAUAUCAUCAAUAUAUAAUAAUAUGAUCACAAAUUGAUCUUUAAAUCUUUUGAUAUACACACAAUGAUCAUCAUCAAUCAUUGUAAAAUCAUAUGUUAUUAUAGCAUUAUAAAAACAUAUAUACCAUUAUCUCGAUGAUUGCUUAAAGCUAUAUAUCGAUCUCAAAAGUCGACAUACAUUUUGUUCUUGGCCUUUCAAAAUGAAACCAACAAGUUGUUCCAUAUAUAUUUAUUAUUCUAAUUUUCCAUUGAAAAAAUCAGUCUUUACAUCCAUUUGAUAUAACUCAAUAUUCAUAUUAGCUAUUAUUACUAGAAUAAGGCGAAUUGAGGUAAAUCUCACUAUAAAAGAAAAUUUUUCCUCAUAAUCAAUUCAUUCUAGUUGAUUAUACCCAUUCGCCACAAAAUGAGCCUUAUGUAUUUCUAUUAAAUCAUCAGUUUUAUGCUUUAAUUUGAUGAUUCACUUGUUUCCAAUGGCUUUGUGUCCUUUUGAAAGAUUAAUCAGUUCCCAAACAUGAUUUGACUUCAUUGACUCCAUUUCUUGUUCUGUUGCAUAUAUCUAUUUUUCCUUAUUAUGGCAAUUUAGUGCCUCAUUUACAUUCCUUAGCUCAUCUUUAUGUUGUAAAGCAAUUAUAAAAGUUUCUCCUUCAAUGUCAAAACAUCAACGGAAAAUACUUUUGCGACUUGGCAGCCAUAUGGGAGAUUAUAUACUUUGCACAUUAUUCUCUAUUAUGCUUGUUGACACAUAAAUUUUACCAUUUUUUUUUAAUGACUCAAUCGCAUGCAAAAUCAGGAUUAGUUGCUCAAAAAAAUGUAAAGAGUAAAGUAAAUAACUUUCAUUAAAAUGCAUUGUGUAUGUUUUCAUUAAAAUCCAUUACGCAUAGUCAUUAGGAGCAUUUACAUAACUAUCACUAAUUAUUAAAUCUAAAAUUUAAAUAAAUAAAUAAAUUUUAAAAAAGGGGGUGGGGGGGGGGGGGGGAGCGGGCUAGGGCCGAUCCUUUUCGGUCCUACUCUCCUCUGGAUCAUUUUUUCACCUGGGCCCAAGCCCAGCCUCACUUUUCUCCCCAAGCCUUCCUCUCUUCCUCAUGCCCUCAUGCCGGUCUUGCUUUGGCAGAAAAGAAACGUACAAACCAGAGGGGCAGAGCAUCGCAAGCGAGAUGGCAGUAUGAUCUGUGGGUCGGGGCUAGGCCGGCCAGCAAGCUGGCGAUGGCAGAAGCCAUGCGCGCUGGCCGGUGGCCCUCAAAAGAGGGAGAAGAUGAGCGAGAAAGGGGUUUUUUUUCGGAGAGGAGAUGGACAGAGAGCUUGAGAGAGAUCGAAGAGCUCGAGAGAACGGAGGGCGAGCCAGAGGGAGAGAGUGAGACCGAGAGAGCGUUUCGGCAUUUCCUGAGAUCCGCCCGUUGCUCAUCGUCCGAACCGGGUAAGUCUUCCGAACCGUUGGUGCUCCGUUUUAGGAGGUGUUGGACCGGAGCUCGCGACCGACCAUUUCGCGCGAGCUUCGGUCCCGCUGGUCCUUCGUUGAUUUUGUUGCGCGUUCUGGUAUGUUUCGGUAGGAACUUAGGGCUGUGUUUGAGUCUCGAUCGCGUCGGAAAUCUCUCGUUCGAGUCGCGCACGUCAACUGUUUGCAGGGAUGCUUGAAUGAAGUCCGAGUAUUCUUAGUUGGUCUUGACCGAGCCUUAUCGUCCUUGAGUUCAUAUCCAUGUUAAAUUUGAUGUGAUCUGUCUCUGAGUUGAUCUGGAAUGUUGUUUGUGUGUCGAUGAUCGUUGCUUGGUCCGAACAAUAGCCCCGGACGAGCUUGGUCCUCCCUCUCGCUGGUGCAUUCUAUCUGUUUGAUGAAAUGUCAAAAUGAGAUUUGGAAAUGGUUUCUGCAAGGUUUGUUGCUAUGAUAUUAUCUUUGUUCGAGUUUGAGUCGCUUCCAUCGUGCUGUUUGCUCAUGCCGGUGUUAGUACACAAAUCGACGGAGUUUUGGUCAUACGAAAAUUUAGAGCUAAAAAAUCUAAUCAUUCGCCGGAAGCAUUCCGGCAACGGUGAUGAUCUCCGGUCAACUAGUGGCCGGCGGAGGUUCGGCGGUGGAAGGGUCGCCGGUCGUUCCGGGCUGCGUCGUUAUUUGGCUGAGUUUCGAUGAGGCCAUGUUUUGGGGAAGAGAAGGCUUCGGCGUGCAGAGAGGAUGCACGAGGGAGAAGAAGACCAAAGGGGAGGAAUAAUAAUAAUAAAUAAAUAAAUAAAAAGGAAAAGCAAGAGUAAAACUGCAGCAAAAAGUUUUUUAAAAAAAAAAAAAAGCGAGAGAAAAGAAGAUAAAAGUACCUUCGGGAAAGACAGGGAGGGAGCAGGGAGGAGAGAGAACAAAAUAAAAAGAAAAGAAAUAAGAAGGGACAAAUCGGUCUGCGAAGAAUGCAUAUAGCAGAAAAUGGAGCAGCAGAAAAAGACAAAACAGGGAUAAGACAAAAAGAGAAAAAAAAUAUAUAUAUAUUUAAAAAAACUAAACUAAAAUAUAUAUAUAUAUAUAUAUAUAUAUAUAUAUAUAUAUAUCUCUUCUUUUUUUUAUCCAAUGGGCUUAAAUUUUGGGCUUCCUCUUGGAUUUUGGUAUUAUGAAGGUAGCGCACUUCUACGGCACUUCAAUAUAAUAGCCGAUUAUGGUUAAUCAAUAGCAACUCAAUGUGCAUUGGUAUCCUGGAUUAUAUAAGGAAUCUCACGGAUCUUCGUGAUCAUCAAGUACGUAUUGCCAUCACGGUUAGGCCCAUGAGGAGACCAUGGGUGAAAAGCAUGUUGGCAUCGAUUGGCAAUAAUUAGAGAUUUGGGUCAAAAUUUGUCGGUGCAAAGGAACAUCGGACUUGGACUGAGGGGAAUUGGCCCAACGUGGUAGAGACGCACAUAUGAGGGGGAAUAUGUUGAGUGCCCAAGUGAGUUGUAUGAAAAUAAAGUAGUCCCAUAUUAGACGUCCAAAGUUAAAAGAAGCAAUAGAUAAUACCUAGUUAAGGAGGACCUUUCUUAUUUAUGAAGCCGGUCUAAUGAAAUGCCAUAAGAGGAACUCAAUCACUAAAUUGAUUCAUUAAAAUAAAUAAAUACACCCUCAUCUAUGUAUACGCAUGUUAAUGGAUCUAAAAGCAGUCAUACUUAUAUAGAUAAAAUGGGCUAUAUCUACAUAUGAUCAAUAAAAGAACUAUUUUGCCUCGUGUAUCAUCAAGAGGAUGAGAGAAAAGAGUAGGUCAUUAAAGAACGACAAUAAAAUUAUAAUGAAUAAAUAUCUGUGAAUCUUGCAUCGGUGCCUAUUCUAAUUAAAAGGGCAAAAUGACAUAAACAAUUUUUACUCGAUACCAGAAGAAAAGAAAUGGAAAAAAAUGUGUAAGCGCUCCAAUGCUUUCAGCCACUUUGUAUUUGACCAUUUCUAUUUAUUUCAACACCAAAUUAGAUUACAUAACAAUAAAUUGUGGAUACACGGUUAUCUUUGUAAUAAUGAUCUGUUAUACUAUGUAAGCCCAUUAUUACGUUAGCCUUAGCAAAAUAUAUUAUUUAAGGACUUCUUCUUUCCUUCUUCGUUAAUAACAAACAAGAAGGACCAAGAACAUUAUAAGGAAAGAACAGUGAACAUACACAAAGUAUUAGAUCAGUCCAUGGAAUGAAUCAUUAACAUUUGACUUGUUUGAGAUUAAUCAAUGGAAUAGACUCUUAAUGAUUGACUUGUUAUUGUGAGUUGAUAUUGUUGAUUGAUCUUAUACGUAAAAAGUUUCGUUGGAAAGAUAUUAUCCACUUUUGAUAUUUUACUUAUGUCUUAUACUGGAUUUUGGGUUGUGAGAUGAUAUCGAUUUAUAAUAAUUUGCAUAAAAAAAAAAUGCACUACUUAUUGGGUUGUGAUUACUCAUUUUUUCAUCUGACUUGCUUUUCAGGUUCUUCAACUAACAUUUUGAAAAUUAUAUCUUAAANNNNNNNNNNNNNNNNNNNNNNNNNNNNNNNNNNNNNNNNNNNNNNNNNNNNNNNNNNNNNNNNNNNNNNNNNNNNNNNNNNNNNNNNNNNNNNNNNNNNNNNNNNNNNNNNNNNNNNNNNNNNNNNNNNNNNNNNNNNNNGAUGGAUGGUAAUUAUGCUUAAGGUAGCGUCUUUGAGUAAAGGAUGCAUGUCAUGCCUUGUACUGUAGAGUGGGGGUGUGACAUACUCUAUUCUAGGACCGCAAGUCCUUCAGAUCUACAUUUUUCAUACUAGAAAAACCAAAUACAUGAAUUUUGAUUUCUGUUCCUGUGAAAUCUAUGUUUUCUCAAUUUGCAAGCUGUGGUGGUAUGCCUUGUUCCUUCAAAGGGC
rnacentral:lncRNA from 1 species